rnacentral:rRNA from 1 species
AUGACCUCUACACCCGCGGCCGACGUCCUGCCGGCGCUGCCGCCGAUCAGGACGAGGGCGGCGGCGGCCGAUCCUGCGCCUGACCACGCAUCGGCCUCGACGACGACGCUGCCGGAAGGCGAGCCCCUGCCGGCGCCCGUGGCGGCGGAGGAAGAGGUGGUGGCGGAAUCCCGGACGCCGGCUGCGGUGGCGGACGAGGAGGGGGAGGAGGAGGAGCCCAGGACACCGACUUCGGAGGAGAGCAAGCUCCGGCCGCCGACCGAGUGCCCCGGCGCGCCGAGGAAGCCCGUGGCUUUGGCCGGGACGAGGCCAUCCCCGAAGCGGCCGCUGCGCUUCUUCGACGUCCCGCGCGACCUCUCCGCCGUCUUCAUGUCCCUGCCGCCCAAGAAGCGGAUCCGUGCUCCGCCAUGCCUGGUCGCCUUCCGCCCGAGGUGCGGGGCCGCGUGGGGCCAUGGAUCGGCGCUGUAG